rnacentral:rRNA from 1 species
UACGAGGGGGGCGAGCGUUGUUCGGAAUUAUUGGGCGUAAAGGGUGCGUAGGCGGCGCCAUAAGUCAGGUGUGAAAUCUCGGGGCUCAACUCCGAAACUGCACUUGAUACUGUGGUGCUCGAGUACUGGAGAGGAGAUUGGAAUUUACGGUGUAGCAGUGAAAUGCGUAGAUAUCGUAAGGAAGACCAGUGGCGAAGGCGAAUCUCUGGACAGUUACUGACACUGAGGCACGAAGGCCAGGGGAGCAAACGGG